UGGGACGGAGAGAAGUGAGACGACGAAUUGGGAGUCGAAAGGGAGAUCGAUGGGAUCCCAAGCGGGGCGUGUAGGUCUUCGAUCGUCGCAGCGUAGAUCGAUGGUUCUGGUAGAGAAGGCGGAGGAGGAGGAGGAGGAGGGAAGCGGGGGCCGAUGGGUGUCUCCUUCAAUGGCUCCUGGGACGCGGAUCCAGCCAAAACCAAGAUCGAUGCCGGAGGGAGGUUGGACACUCUCGUGCCUUGUCGAAGCUGGGUCGGAGCGCCCAGAUCUACCGAAUAUGUGAGGCAACUUCUGAAUUUGGAUUAAGGAUGUUGAUGGUGCCUGAUAAUCUGAAGCCUACAGAUCCUACUUUUGGAUCUCUUAAUCUUGGAUCUCAAUGGAGGCAAAUCUAUCUUUAGGAUCUUGUUUGAGUAUAGAUUUAUUCUACCUACAUAUGUAGAUUGAACGAGGUUGUGAGGCAACUUCUGAAUUUGGAUCAAGGAUGUUAAUGGAGCCUGACGUUCUGAAGCCUGAUCUGAAAUCUCAAGCACAGAUCCUAGUUUUGGAUCUCUUUAUCUUAUCAGGGUACAAUUCUUGAAUCUUUAUCUGAACUUGUUAUAAUCUAGAACAUGACUCUGAUCCAACCUGCAAUGUUGCAUGUAGAUCCACAUUUUGAAACUAUAGGUGGAUCGGUCCAAAAUUAUGUAAUUCUUUAACCUACCAAGAUUAAGCUAGGUUUAAGAAUUUAGAUUGCAGCAGGUCCUAAUGCAUUGAUCUCCUUCCUUGCCAAUCUUCCAGACUAGAUUGUAUCUAAUUCCUUGCAUGAUCCAUAAGCAACUCAAACAAUGACAUCGUUUUGGGCCUCUAGGUUGAUAAAAAUGUUUGUGAUCUCAGGUUCAUGUAUAGAGAGAUGAUCAAUAAAACUUCGUUAAGGUAGAUGAAGAAGCAAGAUCGCCAACUAGUGCCAUUAAUAUAUUGUGAUUGACUUGUUCGAUUGAGAGAAUUUUACUAGUCAAUGAAGAAUCAUUAAAUCUAAUUUUGUUCUUUUUAGUGUUUCCUUUUAAGGUCUACUUAUCCUUUUGCACUAUUAAUGGUGAACCUUUAAAUCUUCUUUGAACAUAUUCCUGACAUCAUAAUCUCUUUUGUUUCAGGUGAAGUUAUUUUAAUCAUAGACAAAUACAAAUUCUUUAUAAUAGUCUCACAGAUUAUCUCUUAAACCAUCUAAGAUAUAAAUGUACUAGUUUUUGCACACAAGUACUGUUUGCUUGGGAGAUGCUUACAUGCCAAUUGGUAUGAUCUUCCAUGGGCCUCUGGAACCAAUCAAUGAGACCUCAUUUCAGGUACGUUCAUGGUGCUUCUGUCAACUAUGCUAAAUUCAUUAAUAAGACUUUGCAGGCAAUAGGAUACA